CCUACGGGUGGCAGCAGUGAGGAAUAUUGGUCAAUGGACGCAAGUCUGAACCAGCCAUGCCGCGUGCAGGAUGACGGCUCUAUGAGUUGUAAACUGCUUUUGUACGAGGGUAAACCCCGAUACGUGUAUCGGGUUGAAAGUAUCGUACGAAUAAGGAUCGGCUAACUCCGUGCCAGCAGCCGCGGUAAUACGGAGGAUCCGAGCGUUAUCCGGAUUUAUUGGGUUUAAAGGGUGCGUAGGCGGUUUGAUAAGUUAGAGGUGAAAUGUCGGGGCUCAACCCCGAAACUGCCUCUAAUACUGGUGGACUUGAGAACAGUUGAGGUAGGCGGAAGUUGUGGUGUAGCGGUGAAAUGCUUAGAGAUCAUACAGAACACCGAGUGCGAAGGCAGCUUACCAAACU
rnacentral:rRNA from 1 species